AGCGGCCAGCGUGAGUCACGCGCGCAGGGAGAGCGCGAGGCGGCCUCUUCCUCCCCCCCUUCCUCCUCCGGCCCGGCCCAGACCGGUUCCAACCUGCUGGGGCCGGUCCCAACUGCCUCCAACUGCCACCAACCUCUGGUCGGGCUGUGGGGCGGGAAACUCGGUCCCGGCCGCCGAGUGGGGAAGGCGGGAGCUCGGGAUGCAGAGUGCACUCUCCCUAGGCCAGGCCUUCGAGGCCUAACUGUUCCUCAGACCGUAAAACCACAGUAGUAGGCUCCUUUGGGGCAGUGAGAAGUCCAAGACACAACCAAGACGAGUUCCGUGGGGUCCAGCCCCAGAACCCACCUAUGAAUGAUGAUUAACGUGAAGUCCUGUCAGGAGAUUCCGUGCAGUUUGCACAGGAAGCCUUUUGUGUCCCUAAGGCUCGUAGGUUGUCCACGAGGGCCACCCUUGCUUGAAUUCACAGUCGACGUAGAUAAACAUGCAAAGAUGGAAACGUGUCCGUGCGUGCCCAUGACCGUUUCCCUCGCGGGCUGUGCGGAGCCUGAGUCUGGGAGCCCGAAGGUGAUGGGUUCCAAGUAUGUCUGCAGGCUCAGCAGAAAUGUAGCAUUAGAGGGAGCCCCAAAUACUGACACUACAGGAGUCCAGCAGGAUGGGAAAACCUCUUCCUGGAAGUCUUGCAUCUGUGUGCUUUUAGGUCACUGUCUUCAUUUCCUUCAAGCCACGUUAAGCAUUCCCUAGAGUUAGGUGAUGUGGGAGAAAGAUGAAUAAGGGGCGGUUUCUCCUGUUAAGCAAAAUGUUGCUUUCCAUUUUCCCUGAUGCUCUGUGAAUGCCUCUCAUCCCCAUGGGCUCCUGAGUGAUGUGCAUGUUUAAAAGGAUCCCCAGCUGCGAGAGGUUUUGGAACCUGGGGGGUUGAACAGCUCUUAAGUUGUUCAGUGAACGAAGAACAGAAUCAUCUGUUGGAGUAGAGAGAACUCAAACCAGUCAGGAGGAACGCUUGUUAUAGAAGACCUUGGGAAACUGUUCUGGGGUUGGGGAACAUUGGUUAUAGGAAGUGUAUGGUUUCUUUGUGGGAUUCUCUGUUGUUGGCUGAAAUCAUUUAAGCUUCUUGACUACAGUCUGACUCACGUUAACCACUCCUUUUCUGAUAUGGACAUUGCUUUCCUGGUCCUUUCUUACUGGAGAUCUUUCGCAGUCUUUCCAUUGAUUUUGGUGAGAUGUUCUUAGCUCAGAGACUACUGAUGAGUUGAAUGGUGUAGUCUUGAUUUUCGAAUCUGGAAACUUCACGUAAUUGGAACUUCUUUAUAAUCUCUGGUUGCUCAGAUCACUGUUUUUAGCAAAAUAAACACAUUUUGAGUCAUGAGAGUCUUGGCUUCAGCAACUUGUGUUUCUGUGUUGUGUUGUCAUUGAGCAUACUAUGGAAUCUGUAAUAGAAAGGCUUUCUUAUUUUGGAAUUGACAGGUGAAACAAGUGAACAGCUGAUUAAAUGUCAGUAUCUGAGUCUUUGUCCUCUUGAUGCUCAUUUGUUUAAAACCUGUCUUUCCUGCCGGGCGUGGUAGCUCUCACGCCUGUAAUCACAGCAUUUUGGGAGGCCGAGGCGGAUCGCAUGAGGUCAGGAGUGAAGAGACCAGCCUGCCCAAUAUGGCAAAACCGCGUCUCUACUAAAAAUACAAAAAAUUAGCUGGGUGUGCUGGCGGGGACCUGUAAUCCCAGCUACUCAGGAGGCUGAGGCAGGAGAAUCGCUUGAACCCGGGAGGCGGAGGUGGCAGUGAGCCGAGAUCGUGCCACUGCACUCCAGCCUGAGCGACAAGAGCACAACUCCGUCUCAAAAAACAGAAACAAAAACAAACAAAAAAAGCCUGCCUUUCCAUUCCUUGUGGCUAUGUUAGAUACUAAAGAAGGCUUCCCCACAACCCAUAUGCAUCUGCUUUGACUGGUGGUUUCUAUCAUCCUACAAAGACUGUGACUUAUUGGUGAGGGCAGCUGGACAACUCUGAGAGCAACUUAGAGAAAUCCAUCUUGGGCACACUCUAUAAAGGAGCUCCUUCUCUGCAAAUAGCACCCCAGAUAAGUGCACAAAAGCAAGAUACCCUCGUGGACCUACACGUCCUCCCGCUUUUCAACACCCUGAUGCCUGAAGUGUGUAGAAUUUGACAGCAGUAUCAAGAGCUGAGGAGAAGGAGAAGAUGGAAAGGAGUCUAGCAACUUAAAAAUCUCACAGCAUUCUCUGUGAGGUGACCUUUUUUCCUGUUGGUGGCUCAAUUUCUUUAGGACAUAAAGAAGAUACUGAGGCCUGUGACAGCCUGUGACAGUAUCAUCAAGUCGUAUCUGAACUUAUUGAACUGUUUCCUCCCCUUCCUUAUUCUUUAUUCACAGUUUGCUUUUCAUGUGCAUAAGUUGACUCAUUUGUUUCCUGUUAGCAUUUGAAACACCAUAUAGCCACCAUAAGUCCUGACAAAAUGACUUUUAAUAAGGAGGGGGAAGGUCCAUGUCCCACCUUCCUAUGAAAUUUUGGCCUAUUCACAGGUCUACCCCCACAUAAGAGAAGUAGUUAUGUUCUGUAAAGAAGAGGUUGAUAAAAACCUUUAGCAUGGUGUUUUGUGACUUAGAAGUUUUAAGUAGUCAUUCUUAUAUCUAAGCAUUUAUUAAUUUUGGUAAGAACAUUACUACAUGUUUCUGAUGUCACUUUUACUGUUAAGAGGUGCCAGGCAUCUGGUGACCUGUCACUUCAGGAUUUGUGUGAAUCAGACCAUCUAAAUAUAAUAUAAAUUAGAGACUGGUACUUGUAUUUCCUGAUUAAAAACAAAGUAACCUCUGUUUUACUAUUGAAGUAAGAGUGCUUUAUAAUGAAUACAAAAAUGUAUAUUAAAUAUCCAGUAGAGCAUGCUAAA